UGCCGUGUGUAGGGCGCUGUGUGAGGGAGUAGCGCGGCUGCCACGACUGCACCGUGUGGCUUAUACACUUCCCAGUCUGUUUCACUACCCCGUAGCCCUACUUAGCCGUCUGUAUAAGCGUGAGACUAGCAGUUUGGUGCAGACUCUUUCCAUGGCAAGCUCGUAAGGCUAGAGUCCUACAGGCCAGAAUGGAGGUCGAAAUAAAGCAAUUUUGUAAUGAACAGCGUAUAUCCUAAAGAAGUAAGAAAAGGAAAAGAAGGAGAAAGAGAGAAAUGCUCCCACUUCUGUUGGACGAUGGGGCCAAAGAAUGAAAAGAAAGGCAGAACAAAGAACUACAGAAUUAACUGCUGCUGCUUUAUAGUAUUCAGGGAACUACAUUGAAAUGCAUACACUUCCUACUAUUUAUUGAAGCAAUGAUCUUAAAGGGGGCAUAUUGAGUAAAAAGUCUAUAUUGUGCCAGUGAAUUGGAGUAAUAUAGAAACUUGCUUCUAUUAAGUGUGUUCUUAGUACCGCCACUCCAGCCAACUAGCACAACUGCAAACGGUAGUUUCAAAUUGCCCAUUUAAAGGAAAACUAACCUCAAACAAUGUAGGUCUCUAUAAAAAUAAACUGCAUAAAGCACC